GACGAACGCUGGCGGCGUGCCUAAUACAUGCAAGUUGAGCGAUGAAGAUUGGUGCUUGCACCAAUUUGAAGAGCAGCGAACGGGUGAGUAACGCGUGGGGAAUCUGCCUUUGAGCGGGGGACAACAUUUGGAAACGAAUGCUAAUACCGCAUAACAACUUUAAACAUAAGUUUUAAGUUUGAAAGAUGCAAUUGCAUCACUCAAAGAUGAUCCCGCGUUGUAUAGCUAGUUGGUGAGGUAAAGGCUCACCAAGGCGAUGAUACAUAGCCGACCUGAGAGGGUGAUCGGCCACAUUGGGACUGAGACACGGCCCAAACUCCUACGGGAGGCAGCAGUAGGGAAUCUUCGGCAAUAGACGAAAGUCUGACCGAGCAACGCCGCGUGAGUGAAGAAGGUUUUCGGAUCGUAAAACUCUGUUGGUAGAGAAGAACGUUGGUGAGAGUGGAAAGCUCAUCAAGUGACGGUAACUACACAGAAAGGGACGGCUAACUACGUG
rnacentral:rRNA from 1 species